GAUGAACGCUGGCGGCGUGCCUAAUACAUGCAAGUCGAGCGAACGGACGAGAAGCUUGCUUCUCUGAUGUUAGCGGCGGACGGGUGAGUAACACGUGGAUAACCUACCUAUAAGACUGGGAUAUCUUCGGGAAACCGUAGCUAAUACCGGAUAAUAUUUUGAACCGCAUGGUUCAAAAGUGAAAGACGGUCUUGCUGUCACUUAUAGAUGGAUCCGCGCUGCAUUAGCUAGUUGGUAAGGUAACGGCUUACCAAGGCAACGAUGCAUAGCCGACCUGAGAGGGUGAUCGGCCACACUGGAACUGAGACACGGUCCAGACUCCUACGGGAGGCAGCAGUAGGGAAUCUUCCGCAAUGGGCGAAAGCCUGACGGAGCAACGCCGCGUGAGUGAUGAAGGUCUUCGGAUCGUAAAACUCUGUUAUUAGGGAAGAACAUAUGUGUAAGUAACUGUGCACAUCUUGACGGUACCUAAUCAGAAAGCCACGGCUAACUACGUG
rnacentral:rRNA from 1 species